rnacentral:lncRNA from 1 species
GAAGAGAAUGGAUGAUCAGAGGUCUAAGUGUAGAAUGACGGUUAUGAGUGAUUUGGGAGUUUUUAAAGAGGGGUUAUGAUUAGAUCGGUAAGAUUAGCUUUUUCAGAGGUCUAUUAGAAGUCUAAUAAAUUGAUAAUUCGUUUAUCCUUAGUGAUUAAUGAGUAUCGUGAAUAUUUAGGCAGAAGAACGUUAUUUUUAGAUUUCUAGUUUCAAUGAAACUGGUUCAAUUCGCCCGACGAAUAGUGUUUUUUGACGUUUGGUAUGUCUAUGGCUCUUGAUCAUGAUUUGUAAUUUAAUUAUUUUAAUUGCGCAAAGUAUAGAAACAUA